rnacentral:misc_RNA from 1 species
GUUAGGAUCAUUCCAUUGGACAUUCGUCCUUUUGGCAUUGAAAAACUUUACUCGUGGACCAAAAUUUUUUAAAGGAAAGUCUCAGGAUUGCUGGGCAACAUGUGUGAUGAAGGCCGUGAACGAUGAUGAUACGAUAUUAGGAAUUCUUAACCUAGUAUCUGGCCGAAUGUAUUUUAUGGGCAAUUUUAUUGCCCGCAUGAUCGUGAACUCUAUUAGACUCUGAAACUUAAACGUUUUUGAGACAGAGAACAACAAAUACCUAUUACAAAAUUAUUGUUCACGAUCGUGUACUAUUGCGCUGGACUUAAGCAUAUCAUUAAGCGCAUGUGACAAACAACUGUGACUCAGUGAGUAGCGGCGAGCGAAAGCUGAGUAUGCCCUGUUAAUUCUUAUGAAAGUGGAUACUUUGGAAUAAGUAGCCGUUGUUGGUGAUAGACCAUACACUUUCUAUAGAUUACAUUAAGAGUAUUAUUGGUUUGUACACCAAUGAGAAUAGCAGAAGCACUGCUGCUAAGGCAUUAGAACAUGUUGACCGAUAGUGAAUAAGUACCGUGAGGGAAUGCUGAAAACAUCUCCGCAAGGAGAGUGAAAAGCGCUGAAAGAAACUUUCUGGAACCCAAAGAAUGAAUGAUUCUUUCUGGACUCGUCUUGAAACACGGACCAAGGAGUCGUUUGAGUAUGCAAGUGAUACACUGCUAAGGUGUGAGCGGUUUCCUUCGUGGAUAGCAUAUUCCAGCGGACCCGAAAGGUGGUGAACUACGCCUGCUGUGAAUGAAGCAAGGGGAAACUCUUGUGGAAGUUCUUAGCGGUACUGACGUGCAAAUCGUUCGCAAAAGGUAGGUGUAGGGGCGAAAGACUCAUCGAACCAUCUAGUAGCUGGUUUCCUC